rnacentral:rRNA from 1 species
CACGUAGGGUGCAAGCGUUGUCCGGAAUCAUUGGGCGUAAAGAGCUCGUAGGCGGCUUAGUAAGUCGGGUGUGAAAACCCCAGGCUCAACCUGGGGACGCCACCCGAUACUGCUAUAGCUAGAGUCCAGUAGGGGAGUGUGGAAUUCCUGGUGUAGCGGUGGAAUGCGCAGAUAUCAGGAGGAACACCUAUGGCGAAGGCAGCUCGCUGGGACGGUACUGACGCUGAGGUGCGAAAGCGUGGGGAGCGAACAGG